rnacentral:rRNA from 1 species
UCUGAAUCUGCGAACGGCUCCGCAAACCAGUUGUAAACUAUAGCAAGCAGGCUCGGGGUCGGCUCUCACGGGCUGGCUUCGGGCGAUAUGGAUAACCCUGGUAAUUCUGAGGCUAAUACAUGAACGUAAAACCUGGUUGACUGGGCUUCGGUCUGGGAGGCUGGGGGAUGUGUGAUUGCAGGCUUGGGUAACACCGGGAAAGGGCGCACGUCCAGACCGCGCUAUAAAGGAUGGGACCUCUUCGGGGGACCCGCCCCAGCGGCUCUUGCUGUGUGCUUCUGACCUAUCAACUAGACGGCAGCGUAAGGGACAUGCUAUGGU